AAAGACCCCUCCCAGGAGGCCAGUUCCCGUUGCUGACUGUGAACCACCCCCGGUGGAUAGGAACCUCAAGCCAGACAGAAAAGUUAAGCCGGCACCUUUAGAAAUCAAGCCUCUGUCAGAGUGGGAGGAGCUGCAGGCCCCAGUCAGAUCCCCCAUCACCAGGAGCUUCGCUCGGGAGUAAGUGUCUGACUGAGCACACAGCUCAGUAGCAAGACCACGGAAAUUGUCCGUCUCAAGGGAAAUGGGUUGACAAAGAGUCCAGAGAAGCCCCAAAGCCAAGAGUAUCUUCACUUGUCAUAAUAAAAAUGUCCAAUAUGUUUCUGUAAA
rnacentral:lncRNA from 1 species